CUUUCCCUCUGGCGGUAGGCCUAACACAUGCAAGUCGAACGGCAGCACAGUAAGAGCUUGCUCUUACGGGUGGCGAGUGGCGGACGGGUGAGGAAUACAUCGGAAUCUACUUUUUCGUGGGGGUUCACGUAGGGAAACUUACGCUAAUACCGCAUACGACCUACCGGUGAAAGCAGGGGAUCUUCGGACCUUGCGCGAUUGAAUGAGCCGCUGUCGGACUAGCUAGUUGGCGGGGUAAUGGCCCACCAAGGCGACGAUCCGUAGCUGGUCGGAGAGGAUGAUCGGCCACACUGGAACUGAGACACGGUCCAGACUCCUACGAGAGGCAGCAGUGGGGAAUAUUGGACAAUGGGCGCAAGCCUGAUCCAGCCAGACCGCGUGGGUGAAGAAGGCCUUCGGGUUGGAAAGACCUUUUGUUGGGAAAGAAAAGCAGCAGGUUAAUACCCCGCUGUUCUGACGGUACCCAAAGAAUAAGCACCGGCUAACUUCGUG
rnacentral:rRNA from 1 species